AUGAAAUUCUCGUGUACCCUCAAGAACGUUUUGCUUAUCAUAAGAGACUGUUUUGGCCUGUCCUUUGCCUCAGAAGGAUUGGGCUACCUUGCUGCACUUUUGUUACUACUACCGUUACUUGCUCGUUGCAAAUUAUCUUACUAUCAAACUACUCUGCUACUUACAAUUUCAGCACUUGCUGACAUUACCAUGCUGAAAACCACUUGUCAUUUCCUUCUGCUCCUCGUUGGGUUCGACACUCUUACUUAUCGAAAAGAGCUACAAUUGAUUCCCUAUAAUUGUGUGUCAUCACAUUGUCUGGUUCCCCAAGCUGGAUCAUCGAGUUGGCUAUCAUUAGAUCCUUCUGGUAGAAAGAGAACACCCUGCACCCCCUCCUUCGCGAAUGUGUGCUUUUUUUACGAUAUCCUUGUCUCCAACAGCACUCUCAAGGACCAUACCUUGCAUUUGGCUCAAGUAUUCAAGCUCAUGCAACAUGAUCAAUGGAAAAUUAAAUUCUCAAAGUGCUUUUUUGGAGUGACAAUACCUUGCAGUUAG
rnacentral:rRNA from 1 species